rnacentral:rRNA from 1 species
UACGAAGGGGGCUAGCGUUGCUCGGAAUUACUGGGCGUAAAGGGCGCGUAGGCGGAUGGUACAGUCAGAUGUGAAAUUCCUGGGCUUAACCUGGGGGCUGCAUUUGAUACGUGUUGUCUAGAGUGAGGAAGAGGGUCGUGGAAUUCCCAGUGUAGAGGUGAAAUUCGUAGAUAUUGGGAAGAACACCGGUGGCGAAGGCGGCGACCUGGUCCUUUACUGACGCUGAGGCGCGAAAGCGUGGGGAGCAAACAGG